ACUUGUUAAUCUGGUUUAUAAACAAACGACAAGGUAAAUAUAUCGUGAACUCUUCCUUCUGAAAUACAGGUGUGUAACUAACAGGUGCUUUUAUGUCUCUUUUAGAGCAGACAAUAGUAGAAUCAUCAGCCACAACAACGGCUGAAGGGGAAGUAAGAUAUGUGAGAACAUCUUCAGACGAGGUUGAAGCAGAAGAUGAGGAUGUAACAAACAGCAACAUGCCUUAGUUUCAGAGAAACCUGUGAAUGUGUUACCACUACCCUACAUCUGUAUCACUGGAGUUUUGUUUUGUAAUGAUGUUGUUGCAAUUUGCUAUCAUCUGCUCUUUGGUUUUGCAGAAACCUCAUACUUCUUUUUUUGAGGGUUUGCACCUUCUGCUUUUAGUUAUCUCCUCCUCUACAUA